rnacentral:lncRNA from 1 species
GGCCAGUUUAUCAUGAUAAUAACUGGGGUCAUUGCUUAAGUCAAGGAACAUAGGUCUCAUUAGACACCCAAGUACAUCCUCAAACACUUCCACCUCAUUCGAGAGAUAAGAUGUUAUCUUAGAACGAGUUGACACUAUGAACAAUAUAGCAUACCCAUUCACUAAAACUAUACCACAGCAGCUAUUUGAUCGCCAUCUUGAUUGUAUG